UGGGGGAUAUUGCACAAUGGAGGAAACUCUGAUGCAGCAACGCCGCGUGAGGGAUGAAGGAUUUCGGUUUGUAAACCUCUGUCUUCGGUGACGAUAAUGACGGUAGCCGAGGAGGAAGCUCCGGCUAACUACGUGCCAGCAGCCGCGGUAAUACGUAGGGAGCAAGCGUUGUCCGGAAUUACUGGGUGUAAAGGGUGCGUAGGCGGGAUCGCAAGUCAGGUGUGAAAACAAUGGGCUCAACCCAUUGCCUGCAUUUGAAACUGCGAUUCUUGAGUGAAGUAGAGGUAGGCGGAAUUCCCGGUGUAGCGGUGAAAUGCGUAGAGAUCGGGAGGAACACCAGUGGCGAAGGCGGCCUACUGGGCUUUAACUGACGCUGAGGCACGAAAGCAUGGGUAGCAAACAGG
rnacentral:rRNA from 2 species